GGCGCAGAGCUGUCCGUCUUAAUCAGAGCUUCCUUUCUGGGAGCGGCUUCCUUCGUGUCACAAACUUGGCACAGUUCGAACCUCCGCCUCAAGAGUUAUUUUCUUUGGGUUUUGCAAAUCUUCUUUUCCCCGGAGGAGACAGAGAGCGCCACAUUUCUUUCCACCUGGAAAGCACCAGGGUUCGAAGGCUGCCCGUGCGUUCCUGCAAGAGGCGUGGUUGCGUGUCUCCACCCCGCAGUUUCCCCAGACGAGCACGCCCGCCGAGGCUCAGAGAGGGUCCCUGAUUUGCCUCAACGCCUCCAAGGAGCCAGGAGAACUGGUGGUCAAGCCCUGUCACCUUCCCGCCUCAGAUGGCCCUUCGCGGAUGCCGCAUCGCUAGGGUGAGACCCUCCCAGAUUCCCUUGCAGCUAGGAUUCCACAUAGGAUCUGAAUUCUGCCCCAUGCAAGUCUCGGCAAGUCUCGGCUAUAAAGUGAGCAAUAGAAGUUGGUAGACAUGCUCAGGAAGACCAGAUGUGCUGGCGUUUUCCACGGCCCUGCUGUCACAGGAACACUGAAGCGAAAUAAAGGGAAGAGGAAGAAGGAGAAAAGGUCAAGGGAAAAUGACGCAGAUGGCCACAUCUUGUCGCGUGGAGGUCGCCCAGAUUUCGCAAAAUGCCGUCUCCCUCGUGCAGUUAGCUGUUUCUACGCUGGAACAAACAGAUCGUUUCAAAAUAAAAUAAAAUAAUAAAAGCUAA